rnacentral:rRNA from 1 species
AGCGAACGUUAGCGGCGGGCCUAACACAUGCAAGUCGAACGCGAAAGGUCUUCGGACUGAGUAGAGUGGCGCACGGGUGAGUAACACGUAGGUAAUCUACCCUUUGGCGGGGGAUAACGUUCCGAAAGGAGCGCUAAUACCGCAUAAGACCACGGAGUCUCCGGACGCUGUGGGAAAAGGUGGCCUCUUCUUGAAAGCUACCACCGAAGGAUGAGCCUGCGUCCCAUCAGCUAGUUGGUAAGGUAAUGGCUUACCAAGGCGAAGACGGGUAGCUGGUUUGAGAGAAUGAUCAGCCACACUGGCACUGGAACACGGGCCAGACUCCUACGGGAGGCAGCAGUGAGGAAUAUUGGGCAAUGGGCGAAAGCCUGACCCAGCCACGCCGCGUGAGCGAUGAAGGCCUUAGGGUUGUAAAGCUCUUUCAGGGGGGAAGAUAAUGACUGUACCCCCAGAAGAAGCCCGGCUAACUCCGUGCCAGCAGCCGCGGUAAAGUCUGUACU